UACAGAGGUCCCAAGCGUUGUUCGGAUUCACUGGGCGUAAAGGGUGCGUAGGCGGUCGGGUAAGUCUGACGUGAAAUCUCCGGGCCUAACCCGGAAACUGCGUCGGAUACUAUCCGGCUAGAGAAUUGGAAGGGAGACUGGAAUACUUGGUGUAGCAGUGAAAUGCGUAGAUAUCAAGUGGAACACCAGUGGCGAAGGCGAGUCUCUGGACAAUUCCUGACGCUGAGGCACGAAAGCCAGGGGAGCAAACGGG
rnacentral:rRNA from 1 species